ACAGACUUGGCUCUAGGAGACCAGAAGGGCAGAGAGCACAGGUCGGCAGCACUGAGGCUGCACAGUGGAGAGAGCCAGCGAGAGAGCCGGGUGCUCUCAGUCCACAACCCGGUACUCCCCCCACCCAACUCCUCGGGCUCCAGGCUCCGAUCCCAGCUCGGGGAUGAGCUGCCGAGGCGUUGGAAGUUUUGCAGGCAGAAAGGACUAAGAGAGAACGAAAGGAGAGGACCGAAGGAAAGACGGCUUGAGAGAGCUCUGCGGGCCCAGAGUGAGGCGGGCAUUGAUCUAUAUGUCCUUUCGUCCGUCAGUCCGGCGGGGUCACCAGUGCCUGCGUUACCUGGGCGGGUCGACAGCGUCCUCAGUCCGGCUAAGGGCAGUCAUCACUGGCACUCUCCCCCAACAAGAACCCCCGACACUGCAAGACCCGACCGCUGUGGCGGUAGCCGCUACCCAGACCCUGCGGCCCGCCCCAUCAGCCCAUUGGCUGCUUCUGCAGGUCCGCCCAGGCAAGCCAAAACCCGAAAAUUUGGUCCUGUCACCAUCUCCUCUCAUGGGAAGUAGCAGAUGUCCACUCAGAGGGCUUUUCCAUCCAUGACAUCACCUCUCAGAAAAUAUCCAGCCAGGGAAAGGAAGCCUUAUAUGUAAUCACAACCCAAGUAGUCGGUUCUAUCCAUACUGAAGACCAGCUUGGAAUGACCUGGAUGAAGGGGUGGAGAGUGAAAUUAGGGUUGUGGGGAUUUCAUACUUAGGCAAAGGAAGUUGGAACCUCUCAUCCACCUGGGGUAAACAGACCACAGGUACCUUUGAAGACAUCAAUCUCAAGUAAGUCAGAUUAGCAUACACAGAGAUCGAUAAAAUUCCUUUGAUGUUCAGGACUGUAUUUGCAGAUGUAUUUGUCAUUCUGACUAUUUUGUUCUUUCCUCUUGGGAAAGAGGUCUAUGCUAAUCAG